CACACAGAAUCCGAAGCAGCCUCCAGGCCUGAGCUGUCAGAACAGAGCCCGACACAGGGCUCAAACCCAUGAAACAUGAGAUCGUGAACUGAGCUGAAGUCAGAUGCUCAACCGACUGAACCACCCAGAGGCAGCAGAAGGACAACAGUGUGUGCUGAGGGAACACGUCUGCCCGGCUGUCAAACAGCUGUCACAUCUGCCCUUGGGAAUGGACCUUCUGGGAGCCCAAGCUGUCAUUCCUGCUGACACCACACAUGGACCAGCUUUGCUGGUUCAAAGGCCUUCAAUUCCCAGUCCCAGUUUCCUGCUACCUUGACUGACUCCGGUCACGAUGAAUGUGGAUCUACAUUUAUUUAAAAAAUAAACAAAUGACUUACCGUGUUUUGA